GUCCACGCCGUAAACGAUGAUCACUGGAUGUAUGCGAUAUACAGUAUGCGUCUGAGUAAAAGCAUUAAGUGAUCCACCUGGGGAGUACGUCGGCAACGAUGAAACUCAAAUGAAUUGACGGGGGCCCCGCACAAGCGGAGGAACAUGUGGUUUAAUUCGAUGAUACGCGAGGAACCUUACCUGGGCUCGAACGCGGAGGGAAUAUAGGAGAAAUCUUAUAGCUAGCAAUAGCCGUCUGCGAGGUGCUGCAUGGUUGUCGU
rnacentral:rRNA from 1 species